AGUGAACGCUGGCGGUAGGCCUAACACAUGCAAGUCGAACGGCAGCACAGUAAGAGCUUGCUCUUACGGGUGGCGAGUGGCGGACGGGUGAGGAAUACAUCGGAAUCUACUUUUUCGUGGGGGACAACGUAGGGCAACUUACGCUAAUACCGCAUACGACCUACGGGUGAAAGCAGGAGAUCUUCGCACCUUGCGCGUUUGUAUGAGCCGAUGUCGGAUUAGAUAGUUGGCGGGGUAAAGGCACACCAAGGCGACGAUCCGUAGCUGAUCUGAGAGGAUGAUCAGCCACACUGGAACUGAGACACGGUCCAGACUCCUACGGGAGGCAGCAGUGGGGAAUAUUGGACAAUGGGCGCAAGCCUGAUCCAGCCAUGCCGCGUGAGUGAAGAAGGCCUUCGGGUUGUAAAGCCCUUUUGUUGGGAAAGAAAAGCAGCAUAUUAAUACCCCGCUGUUCUGACGGUACCCAAAGAAUAAGCACCGGCUAACUUCGUG
rnacentral:rRNA from 1 species